UACGGGGGGAGCAAGCGUUGUUCGGAUUUACUGGGCGUAAAGGGCGCGUAGGCGGUCGUGACAAGUCACUUGUGAAAUCUCCGGGCUUAACCCGGAGCGGUCAAGUGAUACUGUCGGACUAGAGUACAGAAGGGGCAACUGGAAUUCUCGGUGUAGCGGUGAAAUGCGCAGAUAUCAGGAGGAACACCGAUGGCGAAGGCAGGUCUCUGGGCCACUACUGACGCUGAGAAGCGAAAGCAUGGGGAGCGAACAGG
rnacentral:rRNA from 1 species